AGUAGGACGCACAGUUUAUACCGUAGCUUGCUACACCAUAGACUGUGAGUUGCGAACGGGUGAGUAACGCGUAGGUAACCUGCCUAUUAGAGGGGGAUAACUAUUGGAAACGAUAGCUAAUACCGCAUAACAGUAUGUAACACAUGUUAGAUGCUUGAAAGAUGCAAUUGCAUCGCUAGUAGAUGGACCUGCGUUGUAUUAGCUAGUAGGUAGGGUAAUGGCCUACCUAGGCGACGAUACAUAGCCGACCUGAGAGGGUGAUCGGCCACACUGGGACUGAGACACGGCCCAGACUCCUACGGGAGGCAGCAGUAGGGAAUCUUCGGCAAUGGGGGGAACCCUGACCGAGCAACGCCGCGUGAGUGAAGAAGGUUUUCGGAUCGUAAAGCUCUGUUGUUAAGGAAGAACGAGUGUGAGAAUGGAAAGUUCAUACUGUGACGGUACUUAACCAGAAAGGGACGGCUAACUACGUGCCAGCAGCCGCGGUAAUACGUAGGUCCCGAGCGUUGUCCGGAUUUAUUGGGCGUAAAGCGAGCGCAGGCGGUUAGAAAAGUCUGAAGUGAAAGGCAGUGGCUCAACCAUUGUAGGCUUUGGAAACUGUUUAACUUGAGUGCAGAAGGGGAGAGUGGAAUUCCAUGUGUAGCGGUGAAAUGCGUAGAUAUAUGGAGGAACACCGGUGGCGAAAGCGGCUCUCUGGUCUGUAACUGACGCUGAGGCUCGAAAGCGUGGGGAGCGAACAGGAUUAGAUACCCUGGUAGUCCACGCCGUAAACGAUGAGUGCUAGGUGUUGGGUCCUUUCCGGGACUCAGUGCCGCAGCUAACGCAUUA
rnacentral:rRNA from 1 species